UAACCUGCCGAAAGGCGGGCUAAUACUGGAUAGAGCGAUGGAAUCCGUAAUGGGUUUUCGGGAAAGGGAGGAAGCAAUCCCUUUGCUUUGGGAUGAGCCUGCGUCUCAUUAGCUAGUUGGCGGGGUAACGGCCCACCAAGGCUAUGAUGGGUAGCUGGUCUGAGAGGAUGAUCAGCCACACUGGAACUGAAACACGGUCCAG
rnacentral:rRNA from 1 species